AACAUUAGCUAGUUGGUAGGGUAACGGCCUACCAAGGCUACGAUGUUUAGGGGUCCUGAGAGGGUGAUCCCCCACACUGGUACUGAGACACGGACCAGACUCCUACGGGAGGCAGCAGUGAGGAGUAUUGGUCAAUGGGCGCAAGCCUGAACCAGCCAUCCCGCGUGCAGGAAGACGGCGCUAUGCGUUGUAAACUGCUUUUCCAGGGGAAGAAAACCCCCGACGUGUCGGGGCUUGCCGGUACCCUGGGAAUAAGCAUCGGCUAACUCCGUGCCAGCAGCCGCGGUAAUACGGAGGAUGCGAGCGUUAUCCGGAUUUAUUGGGUUUAAAGGGUGCGUAGGCGGAUUAAUAAGUCAGUGGUGAAAACCUGCAGCUUAACUGUAGAAUUGCCAUUGAUACUGUUAGUCUUGAGUACGGUCAAGGUAGGCGGAAUGUGUAAUGUAGCGGUGAAAUGCUUAGAUAUUAUACAGAACACCGAUUGCGAAGGCAGCUUACUGGGCCAUUACUGACGCUGAGGCACGAAAGCGUGGGGAGCGAACAGGAUUAGAUACCCUGGUAGUCCACGCCGUAAACGAUGAU
rnacentral:rRNA from 1 species